UACGUAGGCAGCAAGCGUUGUUCGGAAUUACUGGGCGUAAAGAGCGUGUAGGCGGCUUGGUAGGUCCGCUGUGAAAACUCGAGGCUCAACCUCGAGAUGUCGGCGGAAACCACUUGGCUAGAGUCCGGAAGAGGAGAGUGGAAUUCCUGGUGUAGCGGUGAAAUGCGCAGAUAUCAGGAAGAACACCUAUGGCGAAGGCAGCUCUCUGGGACGGUACUGACGCUGAGACGCGAAAGCGUGGGGAGCGAACAGG
rnacentral:rRNA from 1 species